rnacentral:precursor_RNA from 1 species
UUCAAGAAACUUUAAUUUGAAUCUUGUAUGUCUAUAUGCCAAUCCACUUAUGGAGUGAGCUAGCUUACGUACCGUUAGGGAAUUUUGUUUGAAAAAAACAACCUUUUUUAAAAACGUGAAAAAAAUUAAUGUUUUUAAAUCACAUGUACGGAUAUGCAUUUUAAAAAAUACACGAUUUUUAGAGCAAAAACAUAAUUUUAUCAAAUGUUUAAUUGUGUUUGUAAAAAUUAUAUUUUGAAAUCCCCAUUUUUUCAAACUACACAUUUAGAAACUACUAAAACAAACGGACCCUCUCAUUUCUUAUAUUUGUGUAUAUAUUGUUGGACCUAACAGCCCCGUUGGGCUAGCAAUCCCAAUACCUAGCCCACCCAGCAAACCGGUUAUGUUUGGUACGCGGAAUGAUUAUUUCAAAAAAUAGUCCUUAUUAAGAAUGAACUGAGUAGAGUGAAUUAGCUUUGGAAUAACCAUUCCAAUGGCCAUGAUGAAAUGACUAUUCCUUCAAUUGAGGAAAUAGUUAUUCAUUUUAAAUUAAAAAGAAUGGUUAUUCCCUCAAUUAAAGGAAUAACUAUUCAUUUAUAGCCAUCGGAAUGACUAUUUCAAGAUUAAUGCAUUACACUCAUUUCAUACUUGAUAAAGGCUAUUCCAUAAAAUAGUCAUUCCGCGUACCAAACAUGUAUAAAAGAGAUUCUCUCUAAGAGGCAACACAAGUAAUCUCUCUCCUUUUGUCGUAUAGAAAUUAGGUAGAAAUUAGUUUAUAGUUAAUUUUUACAAACUAGUCAAAUAAAGUAGUAUGUAUUCCUAAAGUAUGUAUUAAUGCUAUUAAAAAAAUAUGUAUUUUUUACAUGCUAAUAGAUACAUAUCAUUUUAUUAGACUCGUUUAUAAAAUCUAACAUAAUGGUUGAAAUAUCAGCGGUCCUUUGAGGGACCGACAGACUCUGGUGACUGCUUUCUCUAUUGCUAGAGGUCUGUCGUUGGUUUGACCAUCCGAAAACUAAACUGUUAUAACAUAUAUCAUUCAAUUAACUAUAUUAGGAUUAGUGGAACUAUUUUACAUUUUGACAAAAUAGUGGAUAAUUAGUUACAAGAAGGCCUAGAUUGCAUCUCAUAACUGCAUGCCGCCAUGGUCCAUCUGGUCUUGUGUGGCUCCGCUAGUGAUCAGUAAUAAUAAAGUCUGCCUCGUUUUUGUGCAUACACAUGCUUAAAAGACCAACAUUUCUUUGUUUUGUUUCAUGAACUUUUCAUACUUUCUGCGUAUAAGAGUUGUCAACGUAAAUGCAUAGAGAACUGGCCUGAAAAGUAGUAGACAAGUUAAAGUAAAAAGAAGAUAGAAAAUCAAGACAGAGUACUGACUGCAUUACCUACAACUGCAUGCACUUGGGAGGCUGAAGCGAGACAAGGGUGAGGAACCCAUGUUGGAGAAGGGGAGCACGUGCAAAGGGUUCACUGGCAUUUGAGAGCCAAGAGCGUUGCACGUGCCCUGCUUCUCCAACAAGGAGCUUCACACCCAUCAAAAGACUACACACGUUGAAGAAUAUGGUGGUUGUAAUUUUAGUUGAAAAAAACAGAGCAAGGAGCUCUGUAUUUAUAAGUGCAAUUCACAGAGAGAGAGAGAGCGAGAGAUUUAAUGAA